GACAGAGGGGGCAAGCGUUGCUCGGAAUCACUGGGCGUAAAGGGCGCGUAGGCGGGUCAGGAAGUCGGUCGUGAAAUCUCCGGGCUCAACCUGGGAACUGCAUUCAAAACUGACAAGCUAGAGUAUGGUAGGGGGUGGUGGAAUUUCCUGUGUAGCGGUGAAAUGCGUAGAUAUAGGAAGGAACACCAGUGGCGAAGGCGACCACCUGGACUGAUACUGACACUGAGGUGCGAAAGCGUGGGGAGCAAACAGG
rnacentral:rRNA from 1 species